rnacentral:rRNA from 1 species
UACGUAGGGCGCGAGCGUUGUCCGGAAUUAUUGGGCGUAAAGAGCUCGUAGGCGGCCUGUUGCGUCCGCUGUGAAAUCCCAGGGCUCAACCCCUGGGCGUGCAGUGGAUACGGGCAGGCUGGAGGCAGGCAGGGGAGAACGGAAUUCCCGGUGUAGCGGUGAAAUGCGCAGAUAUCGGGAGGAACGACCGGUGGCGAAGGCGGUUCUCUGGACAGCAACUGACGCUGAGGCACGAAGGCCAGGGGAGCAAACGGG